rfam:Loktanella sp. 3ANDIMAR09 PM07_013, whole genome shotgun sequence.
UCACCAUUCCAACGGCUUCCUGACGGGGUGGGAUCAACAUACCGGAGCA